UACAGAGGGGGCAAGCGUUGUUCGGAAUUACUGGGCGUAAAGGGCGCGUAGGCGGCCUGCUAAGUCGAACGUGAAAUCCCUCGGCUUAACCGGGGAACUGCGUCUGAUACUGGAUGGCUGGAGUGUGGGAGAGGGAUGCGGAAUUCCAGGUGUAGCGGUGAAAUGCGUAGAUAUCUGGAGGAACACCGGUGGCGAAGGCGGCAUCCUGGACCAUUACUGACACUGAAAAGCGAAAGCCAGGGGAGCAAACGGG
rnacentral:rRNA from 1 species